CACAAUUUGUAUCAGCUGGUUAUAGAGGAUAACAAGGAAGACUCCAAGACUCCAGAAUGAGUGGAGCCACUAGAAGGAUCCUGUUCAAGACACCAUUUCACUGUGUCGUCAAGUCUCCUUAGGCUCCUUUUGGCUGUGGGAGUUUCUCAGACUUGCCUUAUAUUUGAUGACCUUGACAGUCCUGAGAGUACGUACCUCUUCAUCAACUACACCUAUAAGCUGCUGGAGGAGAAAAAUGCCUGAGCUUGGUUCACAGAUGGGCUGGCUUGGUAUGUGGCUGCAAGCCAAAAAUGGAUGAUGGCUGCACUACUGUCUUACUUGGAUGACCUCAAUGUUUGCAGCAAAGAGUCUUCCCAGUGAGCAGAGCUUCUGGAUUUGCUUCUGGACUUGUGCCUGGUCAUCUAGUUUGUGUGAACUGAGAAGUUUCCCAAGAUUGGAAUAUAUUUGCACUCAUGCUCUGGGAUCUGCAGGAUGAGAGUUCUCAUUGCCCAAAGCGGGGACACUUUCAUCAGGGGACACAAAGAUUUCCAUUCAGCCAUAAGCUGUGGCUAAUAUCUGGGAAACUUGAUUCCCAUCUCCAUCUAAGGCCAAUCUACAUGUGCUUCUGGAUCUUACGAUGGUUUCAAGAUAUGUCUGCAAAUGUUUUGACACUCUUCCACAAAAGGGAAAGAAGAAAUCUUGAUCUGAGAACAGGAUGGAGGAAGAAGACUGAAGGAUGGGAUGGAUGGCACUGAUGCUAUUUCUUCAUGACAAAAUCUGAUACAUCUAAGAGAGCAACUUCAUAAGAUGUUGGGAACAAGCAUAGCUUUUGAGGCGAGGUGAAGAAGGCUCCCUGCUUUCUCUACCUCCAGACCCCAGCAAAGUACCUAUGG